GACGAACGCUGGCGGCGUGCCUAAUACAUGCAAGUAGGACGCCGUUGCGAACGGGUGAGUAACGCGUAGGUAACUACCUAUUAGAGGGGGAUAACUAAUGGAAACGAUAGCUAAUACCGCAUACUAGUAGAUGGAACUGCGUUGUAUUAGUUAGUAGGUAGGGUAAUGGCCUUCCGAGGCAACGGUACAUAGCCGACCUGGGAGGGGGGUCGGGCACAAGUGGACUGGGACACGGCCCCGGCUCCCACGGGAUGGAGCCGUAGGGAAUCUUCGGAAAUGGGGGGAAACCUGACCGAGCAACGGCGCGUGAGUGAAGAAGGUUUUCGGAGCGUAAAGCUCUGUUGGUAAGGAAGCGGUACUUAACCAGAAAGGGACGGCUAACUACGUGCCAGCAGCCGCGGUAAUUC
rnacentral:rRNA from 1 species